AACGAACGCUGGCGGCAUGCCUAACACAUGCAAGUCGAACGCUUCCGGGGGUUUCGGCCUCCGGGGGAGGUGGCGCACGGGUGAGUAACACGUAGGUAAUUUGCCUUUGGGUGGGGGAAGUAACUCAGGGAAACUUGAGCUAAUACCGCAUAAUGCAGCGGCUCGACAUCGAGACAGUUGUUAAAGCGGGGGAUUGGAGCAAUCCGACCUCGCGCCUAAAGAGAAGCCUGCGGCAGAUUAGCAGUUGGUAAGGUAAUGGCUUACCAAGGCGACGAUCUGUAACCGGCCUGAGAGGGCGGUCGGUCACACUGACACUGACAUACGGGUCAGACUCCUACGGGAGGCAGCAGUCGGGAAUUUUGGGCAAUGGGCGCAAGCCUGACCCA
rnacentral:rRNA from 1 species